rnacentral:lncRNA from 1 species
CUGACCUCAAGUGAUCUGCCCGCCUCAGCCUCGCAAAGUGCUCCAAUUACAGGCGUGAGCCACCAUGCCCGGCCUUGGGCAUGUUAUUUCCAGGUUCAGAUAUUAGGUUUUCAGUCUGAGGGAAGCUGUUUCAGAACAUGGGCUCAGUCUACACUUUCAGCAGGGGGGAUGAGUUUGUGGCUUUAGUAUGUGAUGGGUCCUUCUGGGAACUCACCCUGGGCCCAUUUGCAGGAUAUCAGUCCCAGUCCCCAUACUCCUUCAAGGAGCUAAGUUUGGGGACUCAGUCCCGUGGCUCUACCUAGAGGCUCAUUAUGGGCAUUAUGGGGACAUGACUUUAAGGUUAAGGGUUUACAUGUUGAUGGUUCACUCUUUUUUUUUUUUGAGACAGGGAUCUGGCUCUGUCACCCAUGCUGGAGUGCACUGCUGCCAUCUCUGCUCAUUGCAACCCCCGCCUCCUGGGCCCAAGCUGAUCCUCCAACCUCAGCCUCCAGGGUAGCUUGGAGACCGCAGGCAUGUCCCACCAAGUCCUGCUAAUUUUUGUAUUUUUUUCAGAGACAGGGUUUUGCCAUGUUGCCCAGGCUGGUCUCAAACUCCUGGACUCAAGGAAUCUGCCCAGAUGGUUCACUCUUGAGACACUAAUUCUAGUGUUUCAGUUGGGAGAGGAUUUGAUAUGGGAGCCUGAUAUUUUCUCUGACAUAUGACUAAGCCUCUCACCGAGUGAGUGCCAGUUUCAGAGCUCAGUCUGCUCAGGUAUUGGAAGCCCAGUCUGGAGAUUUUAGCCUGAGGUCAAGCCUAGGAGAUACGGAUGUGAUGGCCUCACCCAGGGAUGUCUGUCUGGUGGGCUCUGUCUUGGGAUGCCAGGCUUGGUCCUAAUCUGAAAUUUUCUUUUCUUUCUUUUUUUUUUUUUUUUU